GAGUGGCGAACUGGUGAGUAACACGUGGGAAACCUGCCCAGAAGCGGGGGAUAACACCUGGAAACAGAUGCUAAUACCGCAUAACAACUUGGACCGCAUGGUCCGAGUUUGAAAGAUGGCUUCGGCUAUCACUUUUGGAUGGUCCCGCGGCGUAUUAGCUAGAUGGUGGGGUAACGGCUCACCAUGGCAAUGAUACGUAGCCGACCUGAGAGGGUAAUCGGCCACAUUGGGACUGAGACACGGCCCAAACUCCUACGGGAGGCAGCAGUAGGGAAUCUUCCACAAUGGACGAAAGUCUGAUGGAGCAACGCCGCGUGAGUGAAGAAGGGUUUCGGCUCGUAAAACUCUGUUGUUAAAGAAGAACAUAUCUGAGAGUAACUGUUCAGGUAUUGACGGUAUUUAACCAGAAAGCCACGGCUAACUACGUGCCAGCAGCCGCGGUAAUACGUAGGUGGCAAGCGUUGUCCGGAUUUAUUGGGCGUAAAGCGAGCGCAGGCGGUUUUUUAAGUCUGAUGUGAAAGCCUUCGGCUCAACCGAAGAAGUGCAUCGGAAACUGGGAAACUUGAGUGCAGAAGAGGACAGUGGAACUCCAUGUGUAGCGGUGAAAUGCGUAGAUAUAUGGAAGAACACCAGUGGCGAAGGCGGCUGUCUGGUCUGUAACUGACGCUGAGGCUCGAAAGUAUGGGUAGCAAACAGGAUUAGAUACCCUGGUAGUCCAUACCGUAAACGAUGAAUGCUAAGUGUUGGAGGGUUUCCGCCCUUCAGUGCUGCAGCUAACGCAUUAAGCAUUCCGCCUGGGGAGUACGGCCGCAAGGCUGAAACUCAAAGGAAUUGACGGGGGCCCGCACAAGCGGUGGAGCAUGUGGUUUAAUUCGAAGCUACGCGAAGAACCUUACCAGGUCUUGACAUACUAUGCAAAUCUAAGAGAUUAGACGUUCCCUUCGGGGACAUGGAUACAGGUGGUGCAUGGUUGUCGUCAGCUCGUGUCGUGAGAUGUUGGGUUAAGUCCCGCAACGAGCGCAACCCUUAUUAUCAGUUGCCAGCAUUAAGUUGGGCACUCUGGUGAGACUGCCGGUGACAAACCGGAGGAAGGUGGGGAUGACGUCAAAUCAUCAUGCCCCUUAUGACCUGGGCUACACACGUGCUACAAUGGAUGGUACAACGAGUUGCGAACUCGCGAGAGUAAGCUAAUCUCUUAAAGCCAUUCUCAGUUCGGAUUGUAGGCUGCAACUCGCCUACAUGAAGUCGGAAUCGCUAGUAAUCGCGGAUCAGCAUGCCGCGGUGAAUACGUUCCCGGGCCUUGUACACACCGCCCGUCACACCAUGAGAGUUUGUAACACCCAAAGUCGGUGGGGUAACCUUUUAGGAACCAGCCGCCUAAGGUGGGACAGAUGAUUAGGGUGAAGUCGUNACAAGG
rnacentral:rRNA from 1 species